UGUCAGCCGCCGCGGUAAUACGGAGGGUCCAAGCGUUAUCCGGAUUUAUUGGGUUUAAAGGGUGCGUAGGCGGAAUAAUAAGUCAGUGGUGAAAUCCUGCGGCUCAACCGUAGAACUGCCAUUGAUACUGUUAUUCUUGAAUAUAGUUGAGGUAGGCGGAAUGUGUAAUGUAGCGGUGAAAUGCUUAGAUAUUACACAGAACACCGAUUGCGAAGGCAGCUUGCUAAACUAUGAUUGAUACUGACACUGAGGUGCGAAAGCGUGGGGAGCAAACAGGAUUAGAUA
rnacentral:rRNA from 1 species